UUUUAUCUGAUGAUAUUUUACAUUUCUGACACCUCAUAUGAACCGCUGUGAUUCAUUUCAAUUGUAAUUAAUUUACUGAAGUU